UACGUAGGGCGCAAGCGUUGUCCGGAAUUACUGGGCGUAAAGGGCGCGUAGGCGGCACAGCAAGUCGGGAGUGAAAGCCCGGGGCUCAACCCCGGAAUGGCUUUCGAAACUGCUGAGCUAGAGUACAGAAGGGGCAACCGGAAUUCCCAGUGUAGCGGUGAAAUGCGUAGAUAUUGGGAAGAACACCUGAGGCGAAGGCGGGUUGCUGGGCUGAUACUGACGCUGAGGCGCGAAAGCCAGGGGAGCAAACGGG
rnacentral:rRNA from 1 species